rnacentral:rRNA from 1 species
UACGGGGGGGGCAAGCGUUGUUCGGAAUUACUGGGCGUAAAGGGUCUGUAGGUGGCCAACUAAGUCAGACGUGAAAUCCCCUCAGCUUAACUGGGGAACUGCGUCUGAUACUGGAUGGCUUGAGUGUGGGAGAGGAAUGCGGAAUUCCUGGUGUAGCGGUGAAAUGCGUAGAUAUCAGGAGGAACACCUGUGGCGAAAGCGGCUCACUGGACCAUAACUGACGCUGAUGCACGAAAGCUAGGGGAGCAAACAGG